AUCUUUGUGCUUGGGACAUUGAUGCAGCUAGUAAGGUUUUGACCGAGGCUUGUCUAUUGCUGGUUGAGAACUAUUUCCAAACCUCCUCUUAGGCCUGGGUUUGGCAAGGCCUUUGAGAAUUUCUGGAGGGACUCCCUUUGGGGA
rfam:Cajanus cajan CcLG02_2352, whole genome shotgun sequence.